rnacentral:rRNA from 1 species
AUUCCAGCUCCAAUAGCGUAUAUUAAAGUUGUUGCAGUUAAAACGCUCGUAGUCGGAUUUCGGGGCGGGCCGACCGGUCUGCCGAUGGGUAUGCACUGGCCGGCGCGUCCUUCCACCCGGAGACCGCGCCUCCUCUUAACUGAGCGGGCGCGGGAGACGGGUCUUUUACUUUGAAAAAAUCAGAGUGUUUCAAGCAGGCAGUCGCUCUUGCAUGGAUUAGCAUGGGAUAAUGAAAUAGGACUCUGGUGCUAUUUUGUUGGUUUCGAACACCAGAGUAAUGAUUAACAGGGAUAGUUGGGGGCAUUAGUAUUUAUUAGCUAGAGGUGGAAUUCUCUAAUUUGAUAAAGACUAACUUAUGCGAAAGCAUUUGCCAAGGAUGUUUUCAUCG